rnacentral:lncRNA from 1 species
GACAAAGAUCUCGAGUCCCUGAAAGUUGCUAAUUAUCCUCAGCUCUCCCAGUUUAACCGCUACUAUAAACUCUGGAUACCCAAGCAGUCCCAGGAACCCGUGUUGGAAAACCACAAGGAGGUAAGCAAAGAGCCUGCUGUGGCACUGGCUUCUGUAUUUGCCACCGUGCUGAAGGGAGCCUGGGAGAGAGGAAGCAGUACCUUGGUGGAAGAUGAUGUUCAGACAAAGUGGAGAGACUUGGCUUCCUGGCUCCCACCCGAGCAGCUUUUGUCGGGAGUAAAGCACGUGCUGCUCUACCUGAGAUCCACGGUGGAGAACUUCAGCCGUGAGCCAUCGGCUUCUAUAGUUGAGUUACGAGUCUAUGUCUUGAAAGAGCCGGAAGCCUUUUAGGGGCUGCAGUUUGUGUCCCGUGGAAUGAGCUGCCCCCGGGAAAUGUGUGAGCUGAACGUAGCCGAGCCCGGGCGAAGGGAGCCGAGCUGCGGGGAAUGGCCGAGUGGAGGCGGCUGUAGGCGGUAAUAGGCGAGCUUAGCCGAAAGUGACGGAGGAGCCGAGCGGAGCCGAGGUGCGCCGCGUUUAGCCGAGCUGCGCAGUAGAGGCGAAUCCAUCCGCCUGCAGGCGAUAAUAGGCGAACUUAGCCGAAAAUAACCGAAACUGACCGAGGAGCCGAGUCCAGCCGAACCGAGUCGAGCUCCGCCGAGCGCAGCAUCCUGGGCAGGGCGGGGCGCCGGGGCAGGGCCGGGGCUCAGUGGGGCUCCCCGUCCUGUCCCUCUCUCUACCCCUCCUUCCUCCUCCCCGUAUUCCCCUCAGUUAUCUCUCUUUUCCCCGUUUCCGUCUCCCCCCCAAAGCCGGCUCCUUCCUGUCCUGUCCCUACCCCGCUACUCCGUUCUAUUCCCCCUGUCCCCUUCCUCUCUCCACUGCCCCUCUUCCUCCCCUGCCGGCCUUUCCC